AUGGGAAAGCGGGAGGAGAGGGAGAAAGAUGAGGGCGGUGUCAGCCAGAGGAUGAAGGUCGGGGCGGCGGGCCCCAUCUUCACCAUCGACGACCUCGACUGCUCCAUCUGCUGCCACCCCAUGCGCCCUCCCAUUUUCCAGUACACUGUGGGUCAUACCAUAUGUUCGUCUUGCCAUGACAAGCUCCCAGGCAAGUGCUACUUCUUCUCCCUUCCCACAGUCUACAACCGCUGCAACUGGCUAGAAUAUGUGGUUGAAUCCCUCAAAGUUGCUUGCCCCAAUGGAUGCACUGUGAGUAUAAAAUACUACCAAAAAGUAGAGCAUGAGAAAGAAUGUUUGCAUGCACCAUGCUUCUGUCCCAUAGCCAACUGCGGCUUCAGUGGACCAACUGCAAUGCUCCUGGAGCAUUUCUCAUCCCAGCACAACUUGCGCUCCCUGGAAGUUCCAUACAGCGAGUGGUUUGGGAUAUAUAUGCACGUCAAUGUUGAUCCUCCCACGUCAGCAACCGCUCUUGUGGGUCAGGAUGGACACAUUUUCCUGGUCUGCAUGAAGUUGGAGUCCUCCGGUGGUGUCAUCAAGGUCUGCUGCGUCCAGCCUCACAAUACUGGAAUUAAGUUCAAGUGCGCGCUGGCAUUGUCAUGCACUAAAACCGGCUACUCCCAGGCUACGGAGUUCCAAACGAGGAACACUAAUCUGUAUGAUGGGCUUCCCGAUGAUGGCUUCCCGUUCCUUGUGCCUAAGGUGUUGCUUCCAGCUGCCGGUACAAGUGGCACAAUCGUAGUGCAUAUGGAACUCACACCACAAUAG
rnacentral:rRNA from 1 species